rnacentral:lncRNA from 1 species
AUGGCAAGUGGCAGGCCAGUUUUAGACAGUCUUGAGGAGUUUGACUCGUCAGACUCCGGUAGCAUUUAUGAACCACAGAUAAAUGCCAGAAAGAAGAAACAGAAAACAACAUCUGGGCCACAGCCCAAAAAAUCCAGGCGUAAUGCUACAGCGAGGGGGACGCCCAGCGUCAGCAGCAGCACAAACCCCAGCCCUGGAGAGCCAUCCCCCCAGGGGCAGGCACAUUACCAGGCCAGAUCCAGAUCUAUACCUGAGAGAAACACCAAUGAAAGGAACCAAGGGAUCCGUGCAAAGGAGAUCUAUGAUGCUGUCUGCUCUGGAAAGGCUGCCAUAGUGACAGUGGUGGACGAGUGGCUGGACAGCUACAAGCAGAGCAGAGAGGGGGGGCUGCUGGUCCUCAUCAACUUCAUUGUUCAGUCCUGCGGAUGCAAAGGUGUGGUCACUAGAGAGAUGUUUGACAGCAUGCAGAAUGCCGAGAUCAUCAGCACUCUUACAAAGGAGUUCAAUGAGACUUCGGGGAACUACCCUCUCAGCACUCCAGGCCCUCAGAUGAAGCAUUUCAAAGCCGGUCUCUCCGAGUUUUCCCGGGUUCUUAUGCGCUCCUGUCGUAACAGCAUCAUUUAUGACGAGUACAUCUUCCCUUCCCUGCUGGCUCUGCUCACCGGGCUGUCGGACUCCCAGGUCCGGGCCUUCAGGCACACCAGCACGCUCCUGGCUUUGAAGGUGAUGACGGGGCUGGUGGAGGUGGCUGUCUCAGUCUCCGUUCAGCUGCAAACCACCCAGCGGCAAAUCGACACGGAAAAGAGCAAGAACCCUCAAAUCCGAGCCUCGGACAAACUGGAGGAGCUGCACGCCACCAUCAGCGAGCUGAAAGAGAACAGAGAAGAAGUGUGCUCCAUGAUGAACGCCACCUUUCGUGGCGUGUUUGUGCACCGGUAUCGAGACCUGCUGCCUGAUAUCAGAGCCAUCUGCAUCGAAGAGCUGGGGGUUUGGCUGAACAAAGACCCAGAGGACUUUCUCAAUGAUGGAUGUCUGAAGUAUUUGGGUUGGACCCUGUUUGAUAAGCAAAGUGCAGUGCGUCUGCAGUGUGUGCGCGCCCUGCAGGGUCUGUACAAGGAGAAGGAGUUCAUUGGUCGCCUGGAGCUUUUCACCAGCAGAUUCAAAGAAAGGAUGCUGUCUAUGGUGCUGGACAAAGAGCCAGAUGUGGCUGUGGAAGCGGUGAAUCUGCUGCUGCUGAUUCAACUAAUGACUGAGGAAGGCUUAAGCGAGGAGGAGUGUGGUCGCAUCUACCCCUUAGUAUACGCUGCUCAUCGGGGCCUGGCGUCUGCUGGGGGGGCUUUCCUCUACAACAAGUAUGAUGUCUGCUCAUUUCUGGAUAGAAGUGUGUGUUUGCAGUUCCAUGAGCAUGGGGCAUACCUGGUGGACAGCCUGUGGAGCGUGGCCGGAUCCGAGCUGAGGGACUGGGAAACUAUGAGCGCUUUGCUGCUGCAGGAUGCUGGUCUGAUGUAUGAGGAGGAGGGGGUGCUCUUAGAGCUCAUGAUGUGUGCAGUCAGACAGGCAGCGCAGGGAACCCCACCUGUAGGGAGAAGUCACGCUAGAAAGAUUGCGAGUAUGAAAGAAAAGAAGGUCCAAGAGCAGGACAGGAAUCGCAUCACAACACACUUCAUCCCCAUUCUGCCACAGCUGCUCGCCAAGUACUCGGCAGAUGCUAAGAAGGUCAGCCUCCUUCUCAAAGCGCCUCUUUACUUUGAUCUGGAGAUGUACAGCAGCACUCAGUGGCUGAAAAAGUAUCUAGACCUGCUGCUGUCCCAGGUGUGUGGCGUAGUGGAGAAGCACACUGACGGCACCGUGCUGCAGGCUUGUGCCCAGCUGGCCAACACCCUGUGCUCAGAAAACUACACCUUCUCUUCCCGGGCACAUCUGGCUUUCAGCCAGCUCCUGGACGACCUGGUGGAAUGUUUCAACUCAUAUUUCGCCGAAAUAUUGCAGGUUGGAGUCCAAUCAGGGAGCUUUUCUAAGAUGUGUUGGUGUGCUCUGACAUACUGCAUAGCAUGUGAACCAAAUGACCUAAAGUCUGAAGAAGAAUCCACCGUGAAAACUGCUGUUUCUGCAACAGAACUUGUCCAGCGCUGCUGCACCACUAAAUGCAUCACAACUCUGUCAUUCCUCUUUCUUUUUUUUUUACAGGCGGAACUGAAGCAUCUGAAAAAAGACAUGAACACGUUCUGCAGAAUCUGUCAGAGGUGUUUGUCUGUGGACGAGACAACGAUCAGAGAUGAGGCCUUUGAGCUGCUGUGUGACCUGCUGCUGUUGUACAGCCAGGCUUCAGUCCGUUCAGAACCUGCGCUCCAGCCGCUGGUCCACCUGCCGUCUGUGUCUCUGUGCUCCGAGUUGGCGUCGUUCCUGCUGGACCACGUCUUCACUGAGGAGGAAGACCUUUCACUCAGUGCUGACAAAGUGACGGAUGAAAGACGCUCAGAGGUCCUUUUGAAGAGGCGCAGGCAGCUAGCCGGCUACUGUAAGCUAGUUCUGUACGGAGUCCUGGACCUGUCUGCUGCCACCAACGUCUUCAAGCACUACAGCAAGUUUUUUAAAGACUUUGGUGACAUCAUCAAAGAGACGGUGAGCAAGAGCAGGCUCAUCAACCCCGUGCAGAGCGCCAAGACGUUCUGCCUGUGCCUGCAGCAGGCGGCUGCGCCCCUGCUCCAUAAGUGUCCAUGGUCGUCUCUGAUGGAAAGAACGGAGUCGGUUCAUUCCGUCCUGCCAUUUAUUCUCAUGCUUUUCAUAUUUGCUUUCAGGGAUGGGAUAAAGUUUGCGUUUCGAGUCCCAGAGGAUGGCAGCAAGCGGCUUCCAAAUGCGGACUUCUUGGAAAUCCUCAGCGAGUUCAGCUUCAAGCUGCUUCAGCAGGAUCGAGUUAUUGUGAUCCAAACUAUUUUCUGUUCAUUAGAAGUUUUAUUUUUGGAGGGAAUUGUGUUUUUUGCUCCAGGUUCAACAUCCAGCACAACCAAAGGGCCGUGGCUGGAGAGCAGCAGCAUCCACAGCCGCAUGCACACUCCUGUGCUCACCUCCACUGUCCAAAAACGGGCAGCACCGCCGCCGCCACCCACACAGGUCAGAGCAGCAGAGUCGGACGCCGGCAGUGGAUUGGCUGAGCUGGAGUCCGAAGACGAGUUCUCCUCAGGGUUAGUUCCAUAG